UACGUAGGGGGCUAGCGUUGUCCGGAAUCAUUGGGCGUAAAGAGCGUGUAGGCGGCCCGGUAAGUCCGCUGUGAAAGUCGGGGGCUCAACCCUCGAAAGCCGGUGGAUACUGUCGGGCUAGAGUGCGGAAGAGGCGAGUGGAAUUCCUGGUGUAGCGGUGAAAUGCGCAGAUAUCAGGAGGAACACCGAUUGCGAAGGCAGCUCGCUGGGACGGUACUGACGCUGAGGUGCGAAAGCGUGGGGAGCGAACAGG
rnacentral:rRNA from 1 species